rnacentral:rRNA from 1 species
UACGUAGGGUGCAAGCGUUGUCCGGAAUUAUUGGGCGUAAAGAGCUCGUAGGCGGUUUGUCGCGUCUGCUGUGAAAACCCGAGGCUCAACCUCGGGCCUGCAGUGGGUACGGGCAGACUAGAGUGCGGUAGGGGAGACUGGAAUUCCUGGUGUAGCGGUGGAAUGCGCAGAUAUCAGGAGGAACACCGAUGGCGAAGGCAGGUCUCUGGGCCACUACUGACGCUGAGAAGCGAAAGCAUGGGGAGCGAACAGG